GCCUGACCACGGUGGCAGAGCAUUGGGCUGGUAUUCCAAAGGUCGUAGGUUCGAUUCCCACCGUGGUCAGGCA